AGGCAGCGCCACUGGGGAUGAGAGAAACCUCCCCACAGAUCAGGGAUCACCAGCAUCCAUCCAUCCGGCCAACCUACAGCACAGACAUUAUACAGAAGUAGUAAAGGAGGAACUGCCAAUGCCAACACCAAGGUGAGGCUCCUGGCCAGAGACAGAAAGGGAAAGGCACAAGUUUAGUCUGGCGAACACAACCCAGGUUGAGAAUAGGGAGCAGGGAGGCAGCAGCAGCAGGAGGAAGAAAG